RKKCGCCCUUAGAGUUUGAUCCUGGCUCAGAACGAACGCUGGCGGCGUGCUUAACACAUGCAAGUCGAACGUGAUUCAGAGCUUGCUCUGAUGAAAGUGGCGCACGGGUGAGUAACGCGUGGAUAACCUGCCCUGGUAUCUGGGAUAACAUCUCGAGAGGGGUGCUAAUACCGGAUAAGCCUCCGGGAUCUUCGGAUUCUGCAGGAAAAGAAGGCCUCUAUUUAUAAGCUUUCGUAUCAGGAUGGGUCCGCGUACCAUUAGCUAGUUGGUGGGGUAAUGGCCUACCAAGGCGACGAUGGUUAGCUGGUCUGAGAGGAUGAUCAGCCACACUGGAACUGAGACACGGUCCAGACUCCUACGGGAGGCAGCAGUGGGGAAUUUUGCGCAAUGGGGGCAACCCUGAUCCAGCCAUGCCGCGUGAGUGAAGAAGGCCUUCGGGUUGUAAAGCUCUUUCGGCCGGGAAGAAAUCGCAUCAGCUAAUACCUGGUGUGGAUGACGGUACCGGAAUAAGAAGCACCGGCUAACUACGUGCCAGCAGCCGCGGUAAUAC
rnacentral:rRNA from 1 species